UUUUUCUUCUUUAUCCAAUUUAAUAUUUUUUUAUUAUAAAUAUUUUAAAUAUAUAAUUUUUUAUACGUGAAUUUUAAAAUCUAACAUAUAAACCGGUUUGAUAGUAAAAAUAAAAUUUUAAAAGUUUGAAUAGAUGAUUAAAAAUAAUUUAUCAUUUAGAAAAAUUUUAUACGAUUUUAUUUUUAAAUUUUAAUAUCAAACUUUAAAAUUAUAUUACAAUCUAAUAAGCGAUCAAUUUUACAUUUAUAAUUUGUGAAAUAUUCAAAAUAUAAUUGGUCAACUUUUAAUUUUAACAAUUACGCAUUAUAAAAUUUGUUAGAUAGUUUAAUAUUUGUGUUUCUCGAAUAACAUAACUAAUUGGACAAAAUCGAUGCUUAACUUUAUCUUCAUUUGGAAUAAUUAUACCUUUGGUCUUCAAAUUAGUAAGAUUUAUGACAAUUGUCCCAAUUAUGUUUUUAAACAAAUAUUAUGAUCAAAUUGCUUACACUUUUUAUUUUAGUUUGAUUUUGAGGCCCAUAUGAUACUAUUAGAUAAAAUGAAGUUGGGAUAAAAGUAUUUAAGAUCCACUUCUGUAUUUAUAGAUAGAACAGCAGAAAAUAUAUUGUAACCGACUAAUCGUUAAUAUGCAGAACGCAAUAUUACGUACGAAAAAAAAAGAAGAUAUUUUCCAAUCGUAGUUUCUCACCACAAACCUCCCAUAAUCCCAAAUAAAGCUUAAGACCCUUCACAAUUAUUCUAAAUAUUUUUGUAAACAAAUAUUAUUAUCAAAUUACUUAAUUAAAUAUCAUUAAUAUGUAUAUAUCAUAUUAUGUAUUACUUAUUUCAAUUAUUUAAUACUAAUAUUAUUGGCCCUUUACUUAUAUAAUAUAGAGAGAGAGAGAGUUAUUUUUUUAUGAUGAAUGAAGUUCGAUCUAUUAUUAGAUGUUUAGGAUUGUAUAAGAGAUAGAACAUUCGGUGUUAGUGGUUCUGCCACACUUUAAAAAGACCCGAUUUGAAUCCUGCACUCAUAUUUUAAUUGUACCGUAGUUUUAAUUAUACCGUAGACCGACUCUAAAUUAUAUGUCAAAUAUAUAUUUAUAUUAUAUAAUAAAUUAUUUAAGUAUUUUAUAUUAUAUUUUAUUUUAUUAAAUUUUGUUUUAAUUAUUUCAUAUACUAUACG
rnacentral:lncRNA from 1 species